UGUGUAGGCGGUUCUUUAAGUUUGGUGUGAAAUCUCCCGGCUCAACCGGGAGGGUGCGCCGAAUACUGAGGGACUAGAGUACGGGAGAGGAAAGUGGAAUUCCUGGUGUAGCGGUGAAAUGCGUAGAUAUCAGGAGGAACACCGGUGGUGUAGACGGCUUUCUGGACCGUAACUGACGCUGAAACACGAAAGCGUGGGUAGCAAACA
rnacentral:rRNA from 1 species